rnacentral:RNase_P_RNA from 1 species
CCAGACGGUCGGACGGUCGCUGUCGGGCGAUAGCGAUAUCGCCCGAUGGAGGAAAGUCCGGGCUCCAUGGGAGAACGGUGCCGGCUAACGGCCGGCGAGGGCGACCUUAGGGAAAGUGCCACAGAAAACAGACCGCCCACCGUAUGCGUGUUCGCACGGGUGCCGUGGGUAAGGGUGAAACGGUGCGGUAAGAGCGCACCGCGCUUCCGGCAACGGCGGCGGCACGGCAAACCCCACCGGGAGCAAGACCGAAUAGGAACGACCGGACCACCCCGCGUGGUUCAGGGGGUCUCCCGCCCCGUCGUUCGGGUUGGUCGCGCGAGGUGCGUUGCAAGACGCAUCCCAGAGGAAUGACCGUCUCGCCUGUUUCGCAGGCGGACAGAACCCGGCUUACAGACCGUCUGGCAAG